UCCGGUUUAACACCGGCAGUCCCCCUAGAGUCCCGUAAUUGGCAACUAAGGGCAAGGGUUUCGCUCGUUAUGGGACUUAACCCGACAUCUCACGACACGAGCUGACGACAGCCAUGCAGCACCUGUACUGGGUUCCGGACUGGAUACCGUUGGACAAACGUUUCCGCUGCCUACUUCCCAGCGCUUUCGCACAUGUCAAGUCCAGGAUAAGGUUCUUCGCGUAGCCUCGAAUUAAGCCACAUGCUCCACCGCUUGUGUGAGCCCCCGUCAAUUUCUUUGAGUUUCAGCCUUGCGACCAUACUCCCCAGGCGGGGUACUUAGCACUUUUGCUUCGGCUGUAAACCCAUGUCAAGUCUACAACCUAGUACCCAUCGUUUAGGGCCAGGACUAC
rnacentral:misc_RNA from 1 species